rfam:Gallionellales bacterium RIFCSPHIGHO2_02_FTLL_57_16 rifcsphigho2_02_scaffold_17352, whole genome shotgun sequence.
UCCAUCGCAAGGUGGAAUCUGAAGGAAGCCGCAGGCAAAAUGCUGGUCUGACGAACAGGAAGCGGAUAGAGGCGGCGUAGCGGGGUGAGCAGGCCCAUAUAGGUCUGGUGUCGCUCAUCGAUACGAUGCGACGACUCCAGUGUGUUCAAUGAACCGCCGGAUGCAGAACCGCACGUCCGGUGGUGUGGGAGGGCGGC